rnacentral:misc_RNA from 1 species
UUUCCGUAGGUGAACCUGCGGAAGGAUCAUUAUUGUAUAACCGAAGUGCGAAGGCUGUCGCUAAGCCGAAAGGACGUGCACGGGCGAGGGGCCUCACAGACAGCGAUCCGACCGCGAUAUGCAACACCGCGGGGGUAACGCAUUGGCGUGUUCGGAGGGAAGAUGACAAUAUCACAAAAAAUGGGUAUGCAGGGUAGAAUGUAGUUGUUGAUUGUGCGAGCACGGAAUAAAAAAAACUUGAAACAAAGGAGCUGUUGGCUCCCGCAUCGGUGAAGAACG